UACGGGGGGGGCAAGCGUUGUUCGGAAUUACUGGGCGUAAAGGGCUCGUAGGUGGCCAACUAAGUCAGACGUGAAAUCCCUCAGCUUAACUGGGGGAACUGCGUCUGAUACUGGAUGGCUUGAGUUUGGGAGAGGGAUGCGGAAUUCCAGGUGUAGCGGUGAAAUGCGUAGAUAUCUGGAGGAACACCGGUGGCGAAGGCGGCAUCCUGGACCAACACUGACACUGAGGAGCGAAAGCCAGGGGAGCAAACGGG
rnacentral:rRNA from 1 species